rnacentral:piRNA from 1 species
UGAAGGAAUACUCACAGAAAUGGUGAUC